AAGGAUCAUUACAGAGUUCAUGCCCUCACGGGUAGAUCUCCCACCCUUGAAUAUUAUACCUUAGUUGCUUUGGCAGGCCGGGGCAACCCCCGGGGCUUCGGCCUUGGUGUGCCUGCCAGAGGAAACAAACUCUGUUUUUAGUGAUGUCUGAGUACUAUAUAAUAGUUAAAACUUUCAACAACGGAUCUCUUGGUUCUGGCAUCGAUGAAGAACGCAGCGAAAUGCGAUAAGUAAUGUGAAUUGCAGAAUUCAGUGAAUCAUCGAAUCUUUGAACGCACAUUGCGCCCCGUGGUAUUCCGCGGGGCAUGCCUGUUCGAGCGUCAUUUCAACCCAUCAAGCUUCGGCUUGGUCUUGGGGCCUGCGAUUCCGCAGCCUCUAAACCCAGUGGCGGUGCCUCCGAGCUCUGAGCGUAGUAAUUCUUCUCGCUAUAGGGUCUCGGUGGUGUCUUGCCAGUAACCCCCAAUUUUUUACAGGUUGACCUCGGAUCAGGUAGGGAUACCCGCUGAACUUAAGCAUAUCAAUAGGCGGAGGAAAAGAAACCAACAGGGAUUACCUCAGUAACGGCGAGUGAAGCGGUAACAGCUCAAAUUUGAAAUCUGCCGCAAGGCCGAGUUGUAAUUUGUAGAAGAUGCUUUGGGUAUGGCCCCGGUCUAAGUUCGUUGGAACACGACGUCAUAGAGGGUGAGAAUCCCGUAUGUGACUGGGUGCUUUUGCCUAUGUAAAGCUCUUUCGACGAGUCGAGUUGUUUGGGAAUGCAGCUCAAAAUGGGUGGUAUAUUUCAUCUAAAGCUAAAUAUUGGCCAGAGACCGAUAGCGCACAAGUAGAGUGAUCGAAAGAUGAAAAGCACUUUGGAAAGAGAGUUAAACAGUACGUGAAAUUGUUGAAAGGGAAGCGCUUGCAACCAGACUUGCGCGCUGUUGAUCAUCCAGGCUUCUGUCUGGUGCACUCGGCAGCGUUCAGGCCAGCAUCGGUUCUGGUGGUGGGAUAAAGGCCUUGGGAAUGUAGCUUCUUUCGGGGAGUGUUAUAGCCCUCGGUGCAAUGCCGCCUAUCGGGACCGAGGACCGCGCUUCGGCUAGGAUGCUGGCGUAAUGGUUGUAAGCGAC
rnacentral:rRNA from 1 species